UCUUUCUUUAAAACCAUAAGAAAUGCCUUUUGUUUUUUUUUCCUUAAGCAGAUUAUCAAAAUUGAGAUCCUGGCUUCUAUCAAUAGGAGCAAGUCAGUAGAAAGGACCGUAAAAACACAAACAGGACAGAAUUUGAGUGUCUAUGUCAAAGCAAGAUCUAGUCAGGUGUCAACAUGAGACUGUAGUGGAAUAAGAGGAGUGCAGGAGAUAAGGAGCACAGAUAUUGCCACAGGAGCAGAGAACAAUGUGCGUAAGCCCCGUCUCCUGUACUGUCGUAGACUGAGAGGCAUACUGGGAAGGGGAAUGGAGGACUGGUGACCAAACAAAAGGAUACGAGAAAUGUGCAAUAUAAUAUAUAAGCAAUAUAAGCAAUAAUGUGCAUAUAUAUAUGUGU
rnacentral:lncRNA from 1 species